CUGCAGCUCAAGUGGUGAUCAUUAUUAUUGGGCCUAAACCGUCCGUAGCCGGUUUAGUAAAUGCCUGGGUAAAUCGUGUAGCUUAACUAUACGAAUUCCGGGUAGACUGUCAAACUUGAGACCGGGAGAAGCUAGAGGUACUCCUGGGGUAGAGGUGAAAUUCUGUAAUCCUAGAGGGACCACCAGUGGCGAAGGCGUCUAGCUAGAACGGGUCUGACGGUGAGGAACGAAGCCCUGGGGCGCAAACCGGAUUAGAUACCCGAGUAGUCC
rnacentral:rRNA from 1 species